rnacentral:rRNA from 1 species
CCUACGGGCGGCAGCAGUGAGGAAUAUUGGUCAAUGGACGAGAGUCUGAACCAGCCAAGUAGCGUGAAGGAUGACUGCCCUAUGGGUUGUAAACUUCUUUUAUAUGGGAAUAAAAUGUUCCACGUGUGGGAUUUUGUAUGUACCAUAUGAAUAAGGAUCGGCUAACUCCGUGCCAGCAGCCGCGGUAAUACGGAGGAUCCGAGCGUUAUCCGGAUUUAUUGGGUUUAAAGGGAGCGUAGGUGGAUUGUUAAGUCAGUUGUGAAAGUUUGCGGCUCAACCGUAAAAUUGCAGUUGAAACUGGCAGUCUUGAGUACAGUAGAGGUGGGCGGAAUUCGUGGUGUAGCGGUGAAAUGCUGAGAUAUCACGAAGAACUCCGAUUGCGAAGGCAGUUCACUGGACUGCAACUGACACUGAGGCUCGAAAGUGUGGGUAUCAAACAGGAUUAGAUACCCCAGUAGUC